rnacentral:rRNA from 1 species
GACGAACGCUGGCGGCGUGCUUAACACAUGCAAGUCGAACGGUGAUGGGUGGAGCUUGCUCUGCUUUGAUCAGUGGCGAACGGGUGAGUAACACGUGAGUAACCUGCCCCAGACUCUGGAAUAACCCCGGGAAACCGGUGCUAAUACCGGAUAUGACACAGAAUCGCAUGGUUUCUGUGUGGAAAGUUUUUCGGUUUGGGAUGGACUCGCGGCCUAUCAGCUUGUUGGUGAGGUAAUGGCUCACCAAGGCGACGACGGGUAGCCGGCCUGAGAGUGCGACCGGCCACACUGGGACUGAGACACGGCCCAGACUCCUACGGGAGGCAGCAGUGGGGAAUAUUGCACAAUGGGCGCAAGCCUGAUGCAGCGACGCCGCGUGAGGGAUGAAGGCCUUCGGGUUGUAAACCUCUUUCAGCUCUGAAGAGGCGAAAGUGACGGUAGGAGCAGAAGAAGCACCGGCUAACUACGUGCCAGCCGCCGCCGUAAGAC